GGACAGGGGAAGUAAAAUUCUCAAAGCAUUCAUGAAGAAAUCCAGAGCUUAGUGCCAUAUUCCAAAAAUAAAUCAGAAGAAUCUGUGUACAGGAAGCUUCUGGCUGCUGUUGCACAAGUGAGGAUGUCCCAAUGCUCAGCUCUUUCCCAAGCUUUCUGGCUCUGGAUGGAGGUGGGAGCUGCGGACUCAGGACUUCUAAAAAAAGAAAGAGACAUGGAGAAAGACAAUCACGCAAACAGGACAAAUAGCAGCCAGUGUAAGUCUGAGGAGCUGUGACGCAUCCCAGGAAAACUACAGAGCAAGCUUGGGUGAUGACAAUGACCAACCCUAUCUUUGACCUUUAGUCAGUCUUUAUAAUUAUUGUGAUUUUCUUUCAUUUUAUUGUGGUUUUUCAAAAUGUAUCUACACUGUACAAAUGUUGUUUUCCUCCGUUAAAAGAAUCCAAACAAACAAGCAAAAAACCAAGCUAAAAGUACAACCCCAAAGCUUGAAACUACAUAUUAUUCCUGGCCACGUUCAGAAGGCAGAAAACAAAUGAAGCUGACCGUGUUACUCUGCUGUUUCAACUAUGCCUGUCAAUCCAACAAAUGCCUGUUACUGUCUACACACCUACCCAG